rnacentral:rRNA from 1 species
AUAGAACGCUGGCGGAAUGCUUUACACAUGCAAGUCGAACGGCAGCACGGACUUCGGUCUGGUGGCGAGUGGCGAACGGGUGAGUAAUGUAUCGGAACGUGCCCAGUCGUGGGGGAUAACGUAGUGAAAAUUACGCUAAUACCGCAUACGAUCUAUGGAUGAAAGCGGGGGAUCGCAAGACCUCGCGCGAUUGGAGCGGCCGAUAUCAGAUUAGGUAGUUGGUGGGGUAAAGGCCCACCAAGCCAACGAUCUGUAGCUGGUCUGAGAGGACGACCAGCCACACUGGAACUGAGACACGGUCCAGACUCCUACGGGAGGCAGCAGUGGGGAAUUGUGGACAAUGGGCGAAAGCCUGAUCCAGCCAUUCCGCGUGCAGGAUGAAGGCCCUCGGGUUGUAAACUGCUUUUGUACAGAACGAAAAGGUUUCUACUAAUACUAGGAGCUCAUGACGGUACUGUAAGAAUAAGCACCGGCUAACUACGUGCCAGCAGCCGCAGUAA